AUUGAACGCUGGCGGCAUGCCUAACACAUGCAAGUCGAGCGGAAGCACGGGGAGCUCUCUCUCUUGCAGUUGGCGACGGGCGGGUGAGUCAUAAGUACAUCCCAUUCUACUUUGUCUGGGGUGAUUACGCGGGCACACAUACACUACUAGCUCAUACGUCGAACGGGUGGGAUCAUUAGAGCUUCAGCGCUUAGGUGAGACUAUGAGCCGGUGUCGAGUUGGAUUAGCUAGUUGGUAGGGUAACGGCUUACCAAGGCGACGAUGCGUAGCUGAUCUGAGAGGAUGAUCAGCCACACUGGAACUGAGACACGGUCCAGACUCCUACGGGAGGCAGCAGUGGGGAAUCUUGGACAAUGGGCGAAAGCCUGAUCGAGCAAUGCCGCGUGAGUGAAGAAGGUCUUCGGAUUGUAAAGCUCUGUUAUUGGGGAAGAACAGAAGUAGGUUAAUCCAUGGAUGUUUUGACGGUACCUAAAGAAUAAGCACCGGCUAACUUCGUG
rnacentral:rRNA from 1 species